AGUGGCUAUUUUUAGUUUUUUAAAGUUAUUUCUCAUUUUGCUAUUGCACAUAACUCUUGUUAAGUUUUGUUGUUUCUUUAAUCUUGUGAAAUUCUAAUUUUGUGAUUCAUGUAAUCUGUUUACAGGAUUUUUGAAAUGGGUAGGCUAUGGAAGGUCUCUCACAAGGACGUUCCUGUAGUUUCAUCUUUUAGCAGUGCAUAUUCUUUGGAUGAACCCUUUGUGCCUAAUGACUUCGCGGAAGAUGAUUCAUAUCCUAUGUCACCGGUAGUUAUUUAUGUAUUCCCUUUCCUUUUCAUUCUGUUUUUAGUUUUCACUUUCAGUUUAUGUAAUUUUCUUUGGUUGUCUUUUAUUCAGGAACUAUCAGAAGAUGACGGCAACUUUGACAGAGCUCUAUUCGAGUUCUAUAUGAAUCAUGUGCGUGCUAUUUUGUUUACUUGCAGUAGUUGCUUCCAUAUGUUUGCGUUGACAGUCCUCUUCUUUUUUGUUUGGUUUUUAUUCUUCUGAGAAUAAAAUGUCUGAUUGUAGGAGCUCCGAAGAAGCUUUUGUGACCUUCUAUGAUUUUUUGCUUCUUUGCUUGUUCGCAACUUCAAUCAUGCAGAUAAGUAUGCGAUGUUUACCUUGUAUAUAAUCUCUGAUUGUAGGAGCUCUGUAAAUGAAAAUGUUGCCUGAAAUAAAAUUUGUAGUUUCAAAUUUUUGUAGAGAAUUUUUCCAAAGUAUUUGCGAUUGUUUUGCUACUGCAAGCUACUCAAGCUUACAUUUAGAAUGAGAUCUCGUGGCAUCGUUAGAAGUUCCUCUUGAGCGGUUGUUCUUUUUAUGCCUUCCAUCUGAAAAUUUGAAAAAUAAGAUGUCAUUAAUAUCAAUAGCCAAAAUGCUGUGUUAUUUAUGAUUUUCAUUGACCAAGCACUGUUAAUUGUGAUCAUUACUGAGAAUGUAGUUUAUUUCUUACUUGCAAUUUCACUGUAAAUGUUAUUUCAGGGGAAAUCAACACUGUAUAUUUAGGGGAAUUAUAAUGGAACUUAAAGUGCAAAUUUCAGUGUAUUUGCACUGUAAUUUGAGGGAUUUUACAGUAGUAAAUUUAGAGAAAUUACACUGUAAUUCCUGUGCAAAUCACUGUAAUUGCCCUGCGACUUACAGGGCAAUUAUUUUGGUUUCUCUUUGAAGGGUAACAUCAUUUUUCUAGAUAGUGUUGCGGGUUUGUCAAAGUUAGGUGUAAUUUCAGAGCAAUUCAACUGUAAAUCUGCAGAUUUACAGUGUAAUUCAAUUACACUGUAACUCCACUGUAAAUCUGUACAUAUGCUAGUGUAAAUUACACUCUUUAAGGAAUUCUACUGUAAAUCUAUAAUUUCUACUGUAAUUCAACUGAAUUACUACUGUAAUUUUGGUGUAAGUCUACUGUAGUUUUAGAGUCAUCAGAUUAGUGCCUAAUGUGUUUGAAUUUUCACUGUUAAAUGAGUGCAAAAUGACAGCAUUAUAGUUAAAUGAUCUGCUAGAUAGUACAUGAGCAAUAUAACAAAAUGACUGGAAUUAUGUUUUCUAAAUUUGCUCUGUAGUGUACCUCCAGUGUAAUUGUAUCUAUGUACAAUGUAAUUGUAUCUGUAAGUUGAGUGUAAAUAGACAGUAAUCACAGUAAUCACAGUGUUCCUAAUUUCUGAAAGUUUCAGUGUCAGUGUUUUUUUUAUUGAAAGUUCUAGUAGUAAUGGCACUGUAAUAUUUACACACUAUAAGUGUAAGUAAUACCCCUGAUAUGCCACUGUAACGGCAGUGCUAAUUUGACUGUAAGUUUUGUGUAAAUGACUGUAAUUAUCUACAAGUUCCAGUCAUAGUGUCACUGUAAUUUCAAACAGUAUGAGUAAAUACACUGUAAUUUUAGUAGUUCCAGUGCUAAUUUGACUGUAAGUUUUGUGUAUCUAGACUGUAAACUGCAAGUUACCAAUAUACUGUAAUGGCAGAUUAAUUUUCUCACAAAUGGCUGUAAGUAGACAGUAAUGACAGUGUUAUUUGAUUGUAUUUUCUGUGUAAUGACAGUGUAAGUUGACACAGUGGAGAUACACAUUUGUACUGUAUUUUACAAAUUACAGGCGCAGCUGUUUUGUGGUCCAG
rnacentral:lncRNA from 1 species